rnacentral:tRNA from 1 species
ACUGAGGUGGCAGAGCCCGGAAAUUGCAAAAGACCUAAACCCUUUACCCCGGAGGUUCAAAUCCUCCCCUCAGUU